GGACCGCGAGCUGGGUUGGUUUAGCGGCGGACUCUUAAUCCGACGAUCCCGGGUUCGAAACCCGGGCGGUCCUCCA
rnacentral:tRNA from 1 species